UACGAAGGGGGCUAGCGUUGUUCGGAAUCACUGGGCGUAAAGCGCACGUAGGCGGCUUUCUAAGUCAGGGGUGAAAUCCUGGAGCUCAACUCCAGAACUGCCUUUGAUACUGGGAAGCUUGAGUCCGGAAGAGGUGAGUGGAACUGCGAGUGUAGAGGUGAAAUUCGUAGAUAUUCGCAAGAACACCAGUGGCGAAGGCGGCUCACUGGUCCGGUACUGACGCUGAGGUGCGAAAGCGUGGGGAGCAAACAGG
rnacentral:rRNA from 1 species